UACGUAGGGUGCGAGCGUUGUCCGGAAUUAUUGGGCGUAAAGAGCUCGUAGGCGGUCUGUCGCGUCGGCUGUGAAAACUCGGGGCUCAACCCCGAGCCUGCAGUCGAUACGGGCAGACUAGAGUGCUGUAGGGGAGACUGGAAUUCCUGGUGUAGCGGUGAAAUGCGCAGAUAUCAGGAAGAACACCCGUGGCUAAGGCGGUUCUCUAGUACGGUACUGACGCUGAGACGCGAAAGCGUGGGGAGCGAACAGG
rnacentral:rRNA from 1 species